GGACUCGCACAAGCGGUGGAGCAUGUGGUUUAAUUCGACGCAACGCGAAAAACCUUACCAGGUCUUGACAUCCCUCUGACGUCACUAGAGAUAGUGAUUCCCUUCGGGGCAGAGGUGACAGGUGGUGCAUGGUUGUCGUCAGCUCGUGUCGUGAGAUGUUGGGUUAAGUCCCGCAACGAGCGCAACCCUCAUCGUUAGUUGCUAACAUUAAGUUGAGAACUCUAACGAGACUGCCAGUGACAAACUGGAGGAAGGUGGGGAUGACGUCAAAUCAUCAUGCCCCUUAUGACCUGGGCUACACACGUGCUACAAUGGCUGGUACAAAGAGUGGCGAAGCCGUGAGGUGGAGCAAAUCUCAAAAAGCCAGUCUCAGUUCGGAUUGUAGUCUGCAACUCGACUACAUGAAGGUGGAAUCGCUAGUAAUCGCGAAUCAGCAUGUCGCGGUGAAUACGUUCUCGAGUCUU
rnacentral:rRNA from 1 species